CCUACGGGUGGCAGCAGUGGGGAAUAUUGGACAAUGGGGGGAACCCUGAUCCAGCCAUGCCGCGUGUGUGAAGAAGGCCCUCGGGUUGUAAAGCACUUUCAGUGAGGAAGAACGCCUGGUGGUUAAUACCCAUCAGGAAAGCCAUCACUCACAGAAGAAGCACCGGCUAACUCCGUGCCAGCAGCCGCGGUAAUACGGAGGGUGCGAGCGUUAAUCGGAAUUACUGGGCGUAAAGCGCGCGUAGGUGGCUUGAUAAGCCGGUUGUGAAAGCCCCGGGCUCAACCUGGGAACGGCAUCCGGAACUGUCAAGCUAGAGUGCAGGAGAGGAAGGUAGAAUUCCCGGUGUAGCGGUGAAAUGCGUAGAGAUCGGGAGGAAUACCAGUGGCGAAGGCGGCCUUCUGGACUGACACUGACACUGAGGUGCGAAAGCGUGGGUAGCAAACAGGAUUAGAUACCCUAGUAGUC
rnacentral:rRNA from 1 species